UGCAGUCGAGCGGUAAGGCUCCUUCGGGAGUACACGAGCGGCGAACGGGUGAGUAACACGUGAGCAAUCUGCCCUUCACUUCGGAAUAACCAUUGGAAACGAUGGCUAAUACCGAAUACGACUUCUUAACUCAUGUUUUGAAGUGGAAAGCUCCGGCGGUGAAGGAUGAGCUCGCGGCCUAUCAGCUAGUUGGUGAGGUAAUGGCUCACCAAGGCGACGACGGGUAGCCGGCCUGAGAGGGUGACCGGCCACACUGGGACUGAGACACGGCCCAGACUCCUACGGGAGGCAGCAGUGGGGAAUAUUGGACAAUGGGCGAAAGCCUGAUCCAGCAACGCCGCGUGAGGGAUGACGGCCUUCGGGUUGUAAACCUCUUUCAGCGGGGACGAAGCGAAAGUGACGGUACCCGCAGAAGAAGCACCGGCCAACUACGUGCCAGCAGCCGCGGUAAUACGUAGGGUGCAAGCGUUGUCCGGAAUUAUUGGGCGUAAAGGGCUCGUAGGCGGUUUGUCACGUCGGGAGUGAAAACUCAGGGCUCAACCCUGAGCGUGCUUUCGAUACGGGCAGACUAGAGGUAUUCAGGGGAGAACGGAAUUCCUGGUGUAGCGGUGGAAUGCGCAGAUAUCAGGAGGAACACCGGUGGCGAAGGCGGUUCUCUGGGAAUUACCUGACGCUGAGGAGCGAAAGCAUGGGGAGCGAACAGGAUUAGAUACCCUGGUAGUCCAUGCCGUAAACGUUGGGCGCUAGGUGUGGGACCCUUCCACGGGUUCCGUGCCGCAGCUAACGCAUUAAGCGCCCCGCCUGGGGAGUACGGCCGCAAGGCUAAAACUCAAAGGAAUUGACGGGGGCCCGCACAAGCGGCGGAGCAUGCUGAUUAAUUCGAUGCAACGCGAAGAACCUUACCUGGGUUUGACAUAUGCCGUUUACCCAUAGAGAUAUGGGGUCAUUUAGUUGGCGGUUUACAGGUGGUGCAUGGUUGUCGUCAGCUCGUGUCGUGAGAUGUUGGGUUAAGUCCCGCAACGAGCGCAACCCUCGUCCUAUGUUGCCAGCACGUAAUGGUGGGGACUCAUAGGAGACUGCCGGGGUCAACUCGGAGGAAGGUGGGGAUGACGUCAAAUCAUCAUGCCCCUUAUGUCCAGGGCUUCAAGCAUGCUACAAUGGCCGGUACAAAGGGCUGCGAAACCGCAAGGUAGAGCGAAUCCCAAAAAGCCGGUCUCAGUUCGGAUUGGGGUCUGCAACUCGACCCCAUGAAGUCGGAGUCGCUAGUAAUCGCAGAUCAGCAACG
rnacentral:rRNA from 1 species